UACGAAGGGGGCUAGCGUUGUUCGGAUUUACUGGGCGUAAAGCGCACGUAGGCGGAUUGUUAAGUCGGGGGUGAAAUCCUGGAGCUCAACUCCAGAACUGCCUUCGAUACUGGCAAUCUCGAGUCCGGAAGAGGUAAGUGGAACUCCUAGUGUAGAGGUGGAAUUCGUAGAUAUUAGGAAGAACACCAGUGGCGAAGGCGGCUUACUGGUCCGGUACUGACGCUGAGGCGCGAAAGCGUGGGGAGCGAACAGG
rnacentral:rRNA from 1 species